rnacentral:tRNA from 1 species
GCAUGCCCGGCCGAGUGGUUAGUGAGUCGUUUGUUGAGUGAGAGGUCACCGGUUCGAUCCCUGUUGCGCGCA